rnacentral:rRNA from 1 species
AUUGAACGCUGGCGGAAUGCUUUACACAUGCAAGUCGAACGGUAGAGGGGGGCAACCCCUUGAGAGUGGCGAACGGGUGAGUAAUGCAUCGGAACGUGCCCAGUCGUGGGGGAUAGCGCAGCGAAAGCUGUGCUAAUACCGCAUACGAUCUAUGGAUGAAAGCGGGGGAUCGCAAGACCUCGCGCGAUUGGAGCGGCCGAUGUCAGAUUAGCUAGUUGGUGGGUAAAGGCCCACCAAGGCGACGAUCUGUAGCUGGUCUGAGAGGACGACCAGCCACACUGGGACUGAGACACGGCCCAGACUCCUACGGGAGGCAGCAGUGGGGAAUUUUGGACAAUGGGCGCAAGCCUGAUCCAGCAAUGCCGCGUGCAGGAAGAAGCAUCUAUGGUGUGUAAACUGCUUUUGUACGGGAGAAACACUCCUUCGUGAAGGAGCUUGACGGUACCGUAAGAAUAAGGAUCGGCUAACUCCGUGCCAG